rnacentral:rRNA from 1 species
AACGAACGCUGGCGGCAGGCUUAACACAUGCAAGUCGAACGCAUCCUUCGGGGAGUGGCAGACGGGUGAGUAACGCGUGGGAACGUGCCCUUCAGUUCGGGAUAACCCAGGGAAACUUGGGCUAAUACCGGAUACGUGCGAGAGCAGAAAGAUUUAUCGCUGAAGGAUCGGCCCGCGUCUGAUUAGCUAGUUGGUGGGGUAAUGGCCCACCAAGGCGACGAUCAGUAGCUGGUCUGAGAGGAUGAUCAGCCGCAUUGGGACUGAGACACGGCCCAAACUCCUACGGGAGGCAGCAGUGGGGAAUAUUGGACAAUGGGCGCAAGCCUGAUCCAGCCAUGCCGCGUGAGUGAUGAAGGCCUUAGGGUUGUAAAGCUCUUUCGUCCGGGACGAUAAUGACGGUACCGGAAGAAGAAGCCCCGGCUAACUUCGUGCCAGCCGCCGCCGUAA